UACGUAGGGUGCGAGCGUUAAUCGGAACUACUGGGCGUAAAGCGUGCGCAGGCGGUUCGUUGUGUCGGUGGUGAAAUCCCCGGGCUUAACCUGGGAAUGGCCAUGGAAACUGGCGAACUGGAGUGUGGCAGAGGGGGGUGGAAUUCCGCGUGUAGCAGUGAAAUGCGUAGAGAUGCGGAGGAACACCGAUGGCGAAGGCAGCCCCCUGGGCUAGCACUGACGCUCAGGCACGAAAGCGUGGGGAGCAAACAGG
rnacentral:rRNA from 1 species